AAUUCGAAGCAACGCGAAGAACCUUACCAAGUCUUGACAUCCUUUGACCACCCUAGAGAUAGGGCUUUCCCUUCGGGGACAAAGUGACAGGUGGUGCAUGGUUGUCGUCAGCUCGUGUCGUGAGAUGUUGGGUUAAGUCCCGCAACGAGCGCAACCCUUGAUCUUAGUUGCCAGCAUUCAGUUGGGCACUCUAAGGUGACUGCCGGUGACAAACCGGAGGAAGGUGGGGAUGACGUCAAAUCAUCAUGCCCCUUAUGACCUGGGCUACACACGUGCUACAAUGGAUGGUACAAAGGGCAGCAAAACCGCGAGGUCGAGCAAAUCCCAUAAAACCAUUCUCAGUUCGGAUUGUAGGCUGCAACUCGCCUACAUGAAGCUGGAAUCGCUAGUAAUCGCGGAUCAGCAUG
rnacentral:rRNA from 1 species